UGAUCUAAUCAUCCUAAAUCUUUAACUUAUUAAUUUAAACUGUCCAUGCGCCAUACUUGUCUUGCUGCACUCCUAGAAGGAUGUCAGGAACCGAUCACCAGCAACCAAAGGAGAAUGGUGAGAAGGAGGAACCAGGGCUGGCGCUGACCACACCGAGUGGAUGGGAAGUGGGACAGGCUUGUGCCCUGUGGUGCCGAUGAUAAGUCAGCUUCCUACAUGAUACCACUGUGUUUCAGUGAGAGACGAAUUACACAAACAAAAUGUUCUUCACAGAUGGAUGAGAUGGUGAGGAUAGCUGCACUGAACGGGAGCACCUUUACCUUUUUUACUGGAGAGAACUCUAUUUUCCUGAUCUGGUCCUUUGGGUUUUGGUCUCUGGGCCUCUGCCUCUGGAGGGAUACUUGUGAGCAUGCUCUCUCUCUCUCUCUCAUUCUCUCUCUCUCUCUCUCUUUGUAAGGCAAAAAGCUGAUUUCUGAAACUACCUGAGUUUUAAAAAUUAAAUCUCAAACCCUUCAUUUGAAUAAGAAAGUGUCCUCCAGCUUCAAGCUUGACCUUAAUUAGCAUUAGUUUUAUUCAAGUGAAAAAUGUCCUCAUGGUUCCCUCACCUUCCACUAAAAUUCUUGGUUACUCUGGAUCUUCGUUUUACUCAAUAUAAUACAAUUUCUUCCAUUCCCUUGUGCUCUAGGCUUCUAUUUCCAUCUGUUUAUGGAGAAAAAAAAAAUAUCUCUCUCGGGCCUAUGAGUUUGUUAAAUUUAGCCCGUCCAGAGAUAAAUCACAUUACCCUCCUCUGACUCGUCCUUCCCUUGCUGUCCAAAGUAAAGACUUAGAACAGCCUCUACGUAGCUGCACAAGCUCAGAUCCCCCAGUCCUCACAGUGUCUUCCUUCUUCCCCAUUCCAUCAAUCUAAUCUGAUCUAACUUAAAUGUUCUCAAAUGUGAAUCAGUAAUCCCUCUUGCCUGAAUCUCUUUCUCUUCCUUCUGUCUUUGCCAGCUCUUAUCUCCUCUUUCCUGGACGGCUGACUAAUCUCUUUGGCGGUCUUCUUGUGAGAACUUCCCAUCCUCUAAAUCCAUCCUCUGUGCAGCAGCAAGAAAGGUAAUCAGCAGUGAGGGCUCCUCUACCCCCAUCCCACAGCAGAGGGCUGGUACCAGGUCCGUAGCAGCAGAUCAGGGGCAGCCACCACUGUUCAUGCCUUCAAGAGGAGGAGUGUAGGUCAUUUUGGAUCUGAACCAAAUGACUCUUAAUACUCCUUCUUCACCUACUCUCCAAAAAUGUUCCAGGCUUCUAACAAAGGGCCCAUGGCCAUGUUCCUUCAGCUUUGUUCUCUUGGCUCUGGAAAUUGCUGCAGGCUCUCAUUCUCACCUGAUUUCUCCACUUUAUAUGCUUUGCUUCAUCCCAAGGUCUUCCUUUUCUCACAUCCUCUGAGUAGUGGCCCAUUUGGACUCUCUGGUGGUUGCUUCUUGGAUCACCCUUAGUUUCGUGGUCUACUGGCCAUAGGCAAGCCCCAUUUAGCCCAGGUGACUGGGCCACUGUAAACCAGCCCAAGUUGAGCACCAUGACCUUCCACUGGUCAAGCAAGGGGUCGGGAUGGGACUCCCACUGAUGAUGCUAAAGACUUUGAGGUUUCAGAAAUAAAGCUCACUGGCAACCUCUUAGAGUCCA
ensembl:lncRNA